UGGGGAAUAUUGGACAAUGGGCGAAAGCCUGAUCCAGCCAUGCCGCGUGUGUGAAGAAGGUCUUCGGAUUGUAAAGCACUUUAAGUUGGGAGGAAGGGCAGUAAGUUAAUACCUUGCUGUUUUGACGUUACCGACAGAAUAAGCACCGGCUAACUCUGUGCCAGCAGCCGCGGUAAUACAGAGGGUGCAAGCGUUAAUCGGAAUUACUGGGCGUAAAGCGCGCGUAGGUGGUUUGUUAAGUUGGAUGUGAAAGCCCCGGGCUCAACCUGGGAACUGCAUCCAAAACUGGCAAGCUAGAGUACGGUAGAGGGUGGUGGAAUUUCCUGUGUAGCGGUGAAAUGCGUAGAUAUAGGAAGGAACACCAGUGGCGAAGGCGACCACCUGGACUGAUACUGACACUGAGGUGCGAAAGCGUGGGGAGCAAACAGGAUUAGAUACCCUAGUAGUCCCUGAGCGGGCUGGCAAGGCGCAU
rnacentral:rRNA from 1 species